rnacentral:misc_RNA from 1 species
GGAGCAGUCACCAACACCAUUCCAGAGUUAUCAGAGUUCUGCAAAUGAAGAACUCCUUCCUCAGUCUUGUCAUUCACACAAGGAACCUGAUCAUUAGCCAUUGUUGGAUGAAUUUUCAGAGAAGAUCUUUGAAUGAGAUCAAAAUAGGAUUGAAAGCCAAAUCUCCAGCAAAGAAUCGAAGAGUAACUGAACCAAAUCUAGAAAUGGAACUCUGGAUCUAGUUGAAGAACAAAGAGAGAGAACAGUUACCACAGCACAGGUGGC